AUACGUAGGGGGCGAGCGUUGUCCGGAAUGAUUGGGCGUAAAGGGCGCGUAGGCGGCCGCUUAAGUCUGGAGUGAAAGUCCUGUUUUCAAGAUGGGAAUUGCUUUGGAUACUGGGGGGCUUGAGUGCAGGAGAGGUUAUCGGAAUUCCCGGUGUAGCGGUGAAAUGCGUAGAGAUCGGGAGGAACACCAGUGGCGAAGGCGGGUAACUGGACUGCAACUGACGCUGAGGCGCGAAAGUGUGCGGAGCAAACAGGAUUAGAUACCCUGGUAGUCCACACUGUAAACGAUGAAUGCUAGGUGUAAGAGGUAUCGACCCCUUUUGUGCCGGAGUCAACACAAUAAGCAUUCCGCCUGGGGAGUACGGCCGCAAGGUUGAAACUCAAAUGAAUUGACGGGG
rnacentral:rRNA from 1 species